GCUCCAAUAGCGUAUAUUUAAGUUGUUGCAGUUAAAAAGCUCGUAGUUGGACUUUGGGACGGGUCGGUCGGUCCGCCUCGCGGUGUGCACCGGUCGUCCAUCCUUCUGUCGGCGAUGCGUGCCUGGCCUUAACUGGCCGGGUCGUGCCUCCGGCGCUGUUACUUUGAAGAAAUUAGAGUGCUCAAAGCAAGCCACGCUCU
rnacentral:rRNA from 1 species